rnacentral:lncRNA from 1 species
GGGGACUGUCCAGAUGUGGAGAUCCCUGAAAAAAUAGGUCUUCAUCUGAGAGGAGCUUGACUUUUCAUCAAACAAAAAAUGGCCUCGAGAUGCAAAACCAGAGGUAUCUCCUGCUGCAAAACGAUGCCCUUCUCAGGGAUGCAGCCAGCAACAAGUGCUGCCCAGCGUGAUCCUGCCCUGGAGAUGCUGAAAUGAAGCAGCUUAUCUGCCCUGGGAGUGACAGAGAUAUUCUCCCAUUUCUUCAAGUUUGCCACCUGGGAAACUUUUCAGCAAUAAAUAGUCAUGAGCUGCUAUUCUGG